GGCUCCACCAUUCCCUGAUCAGCCCCUUCUCAUGCUUGGCAACCCUUCCUUAUUCCAACCAAGUUCUUCCUUAUGUUCAACUUAAGCCUUCUUUGGUUCAACUUUGGCCGUUCCCUCUCCUCCUGUCCCUGUUCCCUGGCAGCAGAGCCCGACCCCCCCGGCUGUCCCCUCCUGCCAGGGACUUGUGCAGAGCCACAAGGGCCCCCUGAGCCUCCUUUGCUCCAGGCUCAGCCCCUUCCCAGCUCCCUCAGCAAUUCUCCAGCCCCUUCCCAGCUCCCUCAGCAAUUCUCCAGCCCCUUCCCAGCUCCCUCAGCCCCUCCUGGGGCUGCAGACCCUUCCCCAGCUCCAUUCUCUGCACACUCUCCAGCUCCUCUGUGCCCUUCCCUAAUUUAGGGAAUUUUUCUGUGCUGGGAGUACACACUGCUGGCUCACAGUGAGGUUUUCAUUAAUCAUCACCCCUAAUAUUUCUCCGUAGGGCUGUUCUCAGUCCCUUCUCCAUCCAACCUGUGAUGCUCAGAGAAGCUGUGGCUGCCCCUGGAUCCUUGGAAGUGUCCAAGACCAGGUUGGACAGGGCUUGGAGCAGCCUGGGAUAGUGGGAGGUGUCCCUGCCAUGGCAGGGGUAGAACUGGGUGGGUUUUAAGGCCCCUUCCAACCCAAACCAUUCCAUGAUUCUGUGAUCUUUAUUCACAGCAGAAAGUAACAGCAUCUGAGUACUGAAUUCUCAAGCAGAAGUCAGGGAGAAGCAUCUUUUUAUGUCCUGAGGAUGAGCUGAACACUAAACCAGAUGAACAAGCUGCAGGAGCCCAGCACUUGCCCACCUGGGGCUGACCUUUUGAAGGACCACUUGAGGAGAGUGGAGGCUUGGCCAGGUGAUGAUUCCAAGCUCUGCAGUCCCUGGAUCAGCAAACCCCCGCCCCCGGGCACAGAUGGAGCUGCGGCAUCCGCCAAGGAGGAUCGGGAGAGGAAAGGAGCUGGGAAUUCGCUUCUCCUGCCUGCAGGUCCCUCUGGAAAAGCGGGAUGCUCUGAUGGACGGUGUUUGCAGCACGGCAGGAUGUGAAUCCUCCUGUGCUCCCCACCUCUCUGCUCCAUCCCGUUCCUUCCCCGGCCCUGACCGCAUCCCUCCAGAGCCUCCUCGGCGUUUCCAAGCCAACAGCUCAAGCCCAAGUGCCACCAGAGGUGACUUGGAGCAGGGUCACUUGCUGCCUUGGUGCUCUCUGCUGGGGACACUCCCAGCCCGGGCUCAUCACUUGGAGAUAAACACGAAACCGCUCUGAGAGCUGGAGCCCCUCUGCUCUGGAGCCAGGCUGGGAGAGCUGGCAAUGCUCACCUGGAGAAGGUGAGCAAUAUCCAACACACCGUGGCCACUCCUGUGUUCCUCAAUGGACCCCAUUCCCAGCAUCCUGCCCAAAAUCCCUUCCCUUGUUCAGCCUCACAGCAGCAGCUGCUGCUCGUUUUGGUGCCCACUGCAGAUGGGAUCAUUCGAUCUCCAGAUUUCUCCGUGCAGCCAAGUUGGAGCUUGCAAUUUCCUUUCAGCUGCAUUAAGUUCCUGCAUAAUUUUCAAUUCACUCUUCUUUUGUGGGGGAUGAAUAGAGAAGGGUGAUCUCUUUCAAAGAAGAUUUAUUAAAAUGCAAAUAAACUUCAAGCUGAAGGUCCA
rnacentral:lncRNA from 1 species